GGAGAGAAAUCUCGUCAC
rnacentral:snRNA from 1 species